rnacentral:rRNA from 1 species
CCCUUAGUAGCGGCGAGCGAAACGGGAAGAGCCCAAACCAACAAGCUUGCUUGUUGGGGUUGUAGGACACUCUAUACGGAGUUACAAAGGACGACAUUAGACGAAUCAUCUGGAAAGAUGAAUCAAAGAAGGUAAUAAUCCUGUAGUCGAAAAUGUUGUCUCUCUUGAGUGGAUCCUGAGUACGACGGAGCACGUGAAAUUCCGUCGGAAUCUGGGAGGACCAUCUCCUAAGGCUAAAUACUCUCUAGUGACCGAUAGUGAACCAGUACCGUGAGGGAAAGGUGAAAAGCACCCCGGAAGGGGAGUGAAAUAGAACCUGAAACCGUGUGCUUACAAGUAGUCAGAGCCCGUUAAUGGGUGAUGGCGUGCCUUUUGUAGAAUGAACCGGCGAGUUACGAUUUGAUGCAAGGUUAAGCAGUAAAUGUGGAGCCGUAGCGAAAGCGAGUCUGAAUAGGGCGUUUAGUAUUUGGUCGUAGACCCGAAACCAGGUGAUCUACCCUUGGUCAGGUUGAAGUUCAGGUAACACUGAAUGGAGGACCGAACCGACUUACGUUGAAAAGUGAGCGGAUGAACUGAGGGUAGCGGAGAAAUUCCAAUCGAACCUGGAGAUAGCUGGUUCUCUCCGAAAUAGCUUUAGGGCUAGCCUCAAGUGAUGAUUAUUGGAGGUAGAGCACUGUUUGGACGAGGGGCCCCUCUCGGGUUACCGAAUUCAGACAAACUCCGAAUGCCAAUUAAUUUAACUUGGGAGUCAGAACAUGGGUGAUAAGGUCCGUGUUCGAAAGGGAAACAGCCCAGACCACCAGCUAAGGUCCCAAAAUAUAUGUUAAGUGGAAAAGGAUGUGGCGUUGCCCAGACAACUAGGAUGUUGGCUUAGAAGCAGCCAUCAUUUAAAGAGUGCGUAAUAGCUCACUAGUCGAGUGACACUGCGCCGAAAAUGUACCGGGGCUAAACAUAUUACCGAAGCUGUGGAUUGUCCUUUGGACAAUGGUAGGAGAGCGUUCUAAGGGCGUUGAAGCAUGAUCGUAAGGACAUGUGGAGCGCUUAGAAGUGAGAAUGCCGGUGUGAGUAGCGAAAGACGGGUGAGAAUCCCGUCCACCGAUUGACUAAGGUUUCCAGAGGAAGGCUCGUCCGCUCUGGGUUAGUCGGGUCCUAAGCUGAGGCCGACAGGCGUAGGCGAUGGAUAACAGGUUGAUAUUCCUGUACCACCUAUAAUCGUUUUAAUCGAUGGGGGGACGCAGUAGGAUAGGCGAAGCGUGCGAUUGGAUUGCACGUCUAAGCAGUAAGGCUGAGUAUUAGGCAAAUCCGGUACUCGUUAAGGCUGAGCUGUGAUGGGGAGAAGACAUUGUGUCUUCGAGUCGUUGAUUUCACACUGCCGAGAAAAGCCUCUAGAUAGAAAAUAGGUGCCCGUACCGCAAACCGACACAGGUAGUCAAGAUGAGAAUUCUAAGGUGAGCGAGCGAACUCUCGUUAAGGAACUCGGCAAAAUGACCCCGUAACUUCGGGAGAAGGGGUGCUCUUUAGGGUUAACGCCCAGAAGAGCCGCAGUGAAUAGGCCCAAGCGACUGUUUAUCAAAAACACAGGUCUCUGCUAAACCGUAAGGUGAUGUAUAGGGGCUGACGCCUGCCCGGUGCUGGAAGGUUAAGAGGAGUGGUUAGCUUCUGCGAAGCUACGAAUCGAAGCCCCAGUAAACGGCGGCCGUAACUAUAACGGUCCUAAGGUAGCGAAAUUCCUUGUCGGGUAAGUUCCGACCCGCACGAAAGGCGUAACGAUUUGGGCACUGUCUCAACGAGAGACUCGGUGAAAUCAUAGUACCUGUGAAGAUGCAGGUUACCCGCGACAGGACGGAAAGACCCCGUGGAGCUUUACUGUAGCCUGAUAUUGAAAUUCGGCACAGCUUGUACAGGAUAGGUAGGAGCCUUUGAAACGUGAGCGCUAGCUUACGUGGAGGCGCUGGUGGGAUACUACCCUAGCUGUGUUGGNUUUCUAACCCGCACCACUUAUCGUGGUGGGAGACAGUGUCAGGCGGGCAGUUUGACUGGGGCGGUCGCCUCCUAAAAGGUAACGGAGGCGCUCAAAGGUUCCCUCAGAAUGGUUGGAAAUCAUUCAUAGAGUGUAAAGGCAUAAGGGAGCUUGACUGCGAGACCUACAAGUCGAGCAGGGUCGAAAGACGGACUUAGUGAUCCGGUGGUUCCGCAUGGAAGGGCCAUCGCUCAACGGAUAAAAGCUACCCCGGGGAUAACAGGCUUAUCUCCCCCAAGAGUUCACAUCGACGGGGAGGUUUGGCACCUCGAUGUCGGCUCAUCGCAUCCUGGGGCUGUAGUCGGUCCCAAGGGUUGGGCUGUUCGCCCAUUAAAGCGGUACGCGAGCUGGGUUCAGAACGUCGUGAGACAGUUCGGUCCCUAUCCGUCGUGGGCGUAGGAAAUUUGAGAGGAGCUGUCCUUAGUACGAGAGGACCGGGAUGGACAUACCUCUGGUGUACCAGUUGUCGUGCCAACGGCAUAGCUGGGUAGCUAUGUGUGGACGGGAUAAGUGCUGAAAGCAUCUAAGCAUGAAGCCCCCCUCAAGAUGAGAUUUCCCAACUUCGGUUAUAAGAUCCCUCAAAGAUGAUGAGGUUAAUAGGUUCGAGGUGGAAGCAUGGUGACAUGUGGAGCUGACGAAUACUAAUCGAUCGAAGACUUAAUCAA